GACGAACGCUGGCGGCGUGCUUAACACAUGCAAGUCGAACGGAAAAGCCUCUUUCGGGGGGUACCCGUGUCGCGCACGGGUGAAUCACGCGUGAGUCACCUGUUCUUGACUUUGGAAUAACUUCAGGCAACUGCUGCUACUACCGGAUCGGAGCUCCUGCUGCAUGGAUGGGGUUGGAAAGGUUCGGCGGUCGGGGAAGGACUCGCGGCUGAUCAUCUCGUUGGUGGGGUAGUGGCUUACCCAGGCUUGGACGGGUAGCCGGCCGGAGAGGGUGACCGGCCACAUUGGGACGGAGAUACAGCCCAGACACCUACGGGAGGCAGCAGUGGGGAGUAUAGCACAAGGGGUGGAAGCCUGAUGCAGCAACGCCGUGUGCGGGAUGACGGCCUGCGGGUUGUAAGCCGCUUUCGCUCAUGACGAAGCAUUGUAUGACGGUAGUUGGUAAAGAAGCACCGGCUAACUACGUG
rnacentral:rRNA from 1 species